UACGGGGGGAGCAAGCGUUGUUCGGAUUUACUGGGCGUAAAGGGCGCGUAGGCGGCAAUUCAAGUCAUCUGUGAAAUCUCCGGGCUUAACCCGGAACGGUCAGAUGAUACUGCUUUGCUAGAGUGCGGAAGGGGCAAUCGGAAUUCUCGGUGUAGCGGUGAAAUGCGUAGAUAUCGAGAGGAACACCUGAGGUGAAGACGGGUUGCUGGGCCGACACUGACGCUGAGUGCGCGAAAGCCAGGGGAGCAAACGGG
rnacentral:rRNA from 1 species